GACGUAGGGCGCGAGCGUUGUCCGGAUUUAUUGGGCGUAAAGAGCUCGUAGGCGGCUUGUCGCGUCGUCCGCGAAAACUCACAGCUCAACUGUGAGCUUGCGGUCGAUACGGGCAGGCUAGAGUUCGGUAGGGGAGACUGGAAUUCCUGGUGUAGCGGUGAAAUGCGCAGAUAUCAGGAGGAACACCGGUGGCGAAGGCGGGUCUCUGGGCCGAUACUGACGUGAGGAGCGAAAGCGUGGGGAGCGAACAGG
rnacentral:rRNA from 1 species